rnacentral:rRNA from 1 species
GAUGAACGCUGGCGGCGUGCCUAAUACAUGCAAGUCGAGCGAACGGACGAUAAGCUUGCUUCUCUGACGUUAGCGGCGGACGGGUGAGUAACACGUGGAUAACCUACCUAUAAGACUGGGAUAACUUCGGGAAACCGGAGCUAAUACCGGAUAAUAUCUUGAACCGUAUGGUUCAAUAGUGAAAUACGGUCUUGCUGUCUCUUAUAGAUGGAUCCGCGCUGCAUUAGCUAGUUGGUAAGGUAACGGCUUACCAAGGCAACGAUGCAUAGCCGACCUGAGAGGGUGAUAGGCCAAACUGGAAGUGAGACACGGUCCAGACUCCUAAGGGAGGCAGCAGUAGGGAAUCGUCCGCAAUGGGCGAAAGCCUGACGGAGCAACGCCGCGUGAGUGAUGAAGGUCUUCGGAUCGUAAAACUCUGUUAUUAGGGAAGAACAUAUGUGUAAGUAACUGUGCACAUCGUGACGGUACCUAAUCAGAAAGCCACGGCUAACUACGUG